CAGAAAGGCAGAAAAAGACCAUGACUUCUCCUUCUCAUUCUCACCUCACAGCUAUCCCACAACGCCUCUCAAAACCCUCCCUUUCCCACUUAAACUCGAAGCCAGUCGGGCUCCGUGUGAGGUC